CCUACGGGGAGCUGCAGUGGGGAAUAUUGGACAAUGGGCGAAAGCCUGAUCCAGCCAUGCCGCGUGUGUGAAGAAGGCCUUCGGGUUGUAAAGCACUUUCAGUGGGGAAGAAAGCCUUGGGGCUAAUACCCUCGAGGAAGGACAUCACCCACAGAAGAAGCACCGGCUAACUCCGUGCCAGCAGCCGCGGUAAUACGGAGGGUGCGAGCGUUAAUCGGAAUUACUGGGCGUAAAGCGCGCGUAGGCGGUCUGAUAAGCCGGUUGUGAAAGCCCCGGGCUCAACCUGGGAACGGCAUCCGGAACUGUCAGGCUAGAGUGCAGGAGAGGAAGGUAGAAUUCCCGGUGUAGCGGUGAAAUGCGUAGAGAGCGGGAGGAAUACCAGUGGCGAAGGCGGCCUUCUGGACUGACACUGACGCUGAGGUGCGAAAGCGUGGGUAGCAAACAGGAUUAGAUACCCGAGUAGUC
rnacentral:rRNA from 1 species